GAGGGUGAUCGGCCACAUUGGAACUGAGACACGGUCCAAACUCCUACGGGAGGCAGCAGUGGGGAAUAUUGCACAAUGGGCGAAAGCCUGAUGCAGCAACGCCGCGUGAGUGAUGAAGGCCUUCGGGUCGUAAAACUCUGUCCUCAAGGAAGAUAAUGACGGUACUUGAGGAGGAAGCCCCGGCUAACUACGUGCCAGCAGCCGCGGUAAUACGUAGGGGGCUAGCGUUAUCCG
rnacentral:rRNA from 1 species